rnacentral:tRNA from 1 species
GCCGGUGUGGCUCAGUGGGUAGAGCACCAGCCUGCGGACUGAAGGGUCCUGGGUUCGAUUCCCGGUCAGGGGUA